GCCUACGGGGGGCAGCAGUGAGGAAUAUUGGUCAAUGGGCGGGAGCCUGAACCAGCCAAGCCGCGUGAAGGAAGAAGGCGCCAGGCGUCGUAAACUUCUUUUGUCGGGGAACAAAGGGCGCCACGCGUGGCGUUGUGAGUGUACCCGAAGAAAAAGCAUCGGCUAACUACGUGCCAGCAGCCGCGGUAAUACGUAGGGGGCAAGCGUUGUCCGGAUUUACUGGGUGUAAAGGGAGCGUAGACGGCGCGGCAAGUCUGAAGUGAAAGGCAGGGGCUUAACCCCUGAACUGCUUUGGAAACUGCCAG
rnacentral:rRNA from 1 species